rnacentral:tRNA from 1 species
AAAAUCCGUCGACUAUAGAAAUCGUGAGG